CGUGGCCUAGUGGUUAAGGCACAAGGCUACUAACCUGAAGGUCUCUGGCGCGAACCCG
rnacentral:tRNA from 1 species